rnacentral:rRNA from 1 species
UUUCCGGUUGAUCCUGCCGGACCCGACUGCUAUCAGAGUGAGAUUAAGCCAUGCGAGUUAACGUAGCAAUACGUGGUGCACGGCUCAGUAACACGUAGUCAACAUGCCCAGAGGACGUGGAUAACCUCGGGAAACUGAGUCUAAACCGCGAUAAGUGAGGAUUUCUGGAAUGGUUCCUGACUUAAAUCUAUAUGGCCCCUGGAUUGGACUGCGGCCGAUCAGGCUGUUGGUGAGGUAAUGGCCCACCAAACCUGUAACCGGUACGGGCUCUGAGAGGAGGAGCCCGGAGAUGGGCACUGAGACAAGGGCCCAGGCCCUAAGGGGCGCAGCAGGCGCGAAACGUCUGCAAUAGGCGAAAGCUUGACAGGGUUACUCUGAGUGAUUUCCGUUAAGGAGAUCUUUUGACACCUCUAAAAAUGGUGUAGAAUAAGGGGUGGGCAAGUCUGGUGUCAGCCGCCACGGUAAUACCAGCACCCCGAGUGGUCGGGACGAUUAUUGGGCCUAAAGCAUCCGUAGCCGGUCCUACAAGUCCUCCGUUAAAUCCACCUGCUUAACAGAUGGGCUGCGGAAGAUACUAUAGGGCUAGGAGGCGGGAGAGGC